CUUUCCCGUAUACCAACCUAUUCACACAAAAUGACUCCAAGAAAUAUGUGGCCAUGCCCAAUUUCUUCUGUCGAUCUCAUUCUGCGAAUGA
rnacentral:misc_RNA from 1 species